AAGAAUUUAGCAAAAUUCGGCACCACAAAGCAGAAGGGGGGAAACAUUACCCAAAAACGAAAUACGAAAAACACACAAAAUGAGCCAAAACCACACUAGCCAAAUUCCCUGAGUACCAAAGUCCCCAUUCGGCACACCUCUCCUCUCCCCUCACAUCCCUUGAUUUUCUCCUAAAAUCACUCUCCUUAUCCCUCCACCCAAUCACAAUCCCACUAUUCUCUCCAUGAUUCACUCCUC
rnacentral:lncRNA from 1 species